rnacentral:pre_miRNA from 1 species
UGUCUACUCCCUCCGUCCCAAAAUUAUUGUCUUAGAUUUGUCUAGAUAUGAAUGUAUCUAAUACUAAAAUGUGACUUGAUACAUCCGUAUUUAGAUAAAUCUAAGACAAGAAUUUUGGGACGGAGGGAGUAUAUC